GCAGAACGCGAAGAACCUUACCUGGCCUUGACAUCCUAGGAAUCCCGAAGAGAUUUGGGAGUGCCGCAAGGAACCUAGAGACAGGUGCUGCAUGGCUGUCGUCAGCUCGUGUCGUGAGAUGUUGGGUUAAGUCCCGCAACGAGCGCAACCCUUGUCCUUAGUUGCCAUCAUUCAGUUGGGAACUCUAAGGAGACCGCCGGUGACAAACCGGAGGAAGGUGGGGAUGACGUCAAGUCAUCAUGGCCUUUAUGGCCAGGGCUACACACGUGCUACAAUGGCAGGUACAGAGGGAAGCCAACCGGCGACGGGGAGCUAAUCCCAGAAAGCCUGUCUUAGUCCGGAUUGCAGUCUGCAACUCGACUGCAUGAAGCCGGAAUCGCUAGUAAUCGCAGAUCAGCAUUGCUGCGGUGAAUACGUUCCCGGGUCUUGUACACACCG
rnacentral:rRNA from 1 species